UGCAGUCUAGUUCCCAGGUGCGCACACACCUGGCGGUGUCUGCUGCCUAGUCCUAGACCAUUCUGAGCUUGGUGAAUAGGAGGAAUGUCUGCAAGUUACUGCUGUGGGAUUCCCAAGAUGGAUGAUGUCUGGAAGAUGAAGGGAGAAGCAUGCAGGAGGAGUUGGUGUUUGGAAGAGCACACCUAAAGGAGAGAUGCUCCAGAAUGUGGCUGUAGACCCAGGCAGCUGCUGCACAGCAGAGGCCUCCUUGAUCCUGUUGGUGGCAAACCUGGCUUCUGAAGAGACUUCACAGCAGGGAUCAGAAGGAGGCCCAGAUUCCUCAGGUUCCCACUUCUGGAAUGCCUUCCUCUGCUCCAGACAGCUGCCCCUCCUCCGCCGCCUGCAGCUGCUUCUUGAGCACAUCUGAAGGCAGAAGGUCUGAUCUCCAUUAAUUAAAUCUGCCAUUAAAAAUUAAAUAACGUG